rnacentral:piRNA from 1 species
UCCACUUCCUGCUUGAGUUUCAGAUGUGAG